UAGGGAAUCUUCCGCAAUGGACGAAAGUCUGACGGAGCAACGCCGCGUGAGUGAUGAAGGUUUUCGGAUCGUAAAACUCUGUUAUUAGGGAAGAACAAAUGCGUAAGUAACUGUGCGCAUCUUGACGGUACCUAAUCAGAAAGCCACGGCUAACUACGUGCCAGCAGCCGCGGUAAUACGUAGGUGGCAAGCGUUAUCCGGAAUUAUUGGGCGUAAGCGCGCGUAGGCGGUUUCUUAAGUCUGAUGUGAAAGCCCACGGCUCAACCGUGGAGGGUCAUUGGAAACUGGGAAACUUGAGUACAGAAGAGGAAAGUGGAAUUCCAUGUGUAGCGGUGAAAUGCGCAGAGAUAUGGAGGAACACCAGUGGCGAAGGCGACUUUCUGGUCUGUAACUGACGCUGAUGUGCGAAAGCGUGGGGAUCAAACA
rnacentral:rRNA from 1 species